rnacentral:misc_RNA from 1 species
CUCAAAAGCAACAGAAAGCUUCAGGGCUAUACGUACAUUACAUAAAAAAACAAACAACAAAUUCUAUGAAUAUAAUGGUAUGACCAUGAAAAUUGUUUCUUCGAGCUAUAAUGGUAUCUUAAAAAACCCACAAUUCUAUGAAUAUUAUACUGAUAGAUUAAGAUGAAAUUCACCCUGUCGUCUUCUGUAAUGUUCCUGCUAAAGAAGG